GUUCCCACCCCUGCCGUAGAGCAAGCCGGCUAGAAAAAAAAGGCCUCUUUCUGGAGAAAAAGCGUGGGACGAAGCCUGCCUCUGUGUAAAAUGUUUUCUGACUUCUCAGUCUUGCUUUCUACCCUGAAAUGCUCCCUCAUCCAACCAUUAACCAGAUGUGAUGCUGCUUAGUUUCCAAGGAAAGCUAAGUGCUGCCACCUGCUGAGGUCUGAGAAAAAGAGCGACUGGUCCAACAUCACUCAGAUGCCUUUACGCCUGAGCUGGGACAAGAACACCUAGUCUUUGGGUCUUUAACCUGGUGCCUUAUAACCACUACACAAAAUGAAUCUCAUUGUUGAAAUAAUCAUGGAUAAAAGACUCUUCUGGAAAGUUUCUACAUAUGCCUAAUCUCCAAGUUAUAAGAAGCGUAAACAUGCAAACAGACAUUUCAUUUUUGGAGCAGCAAGUCUUAAAAGUGCAUUUUAAAUUAUUUCAAACUUGGAUUUUCUUUUCCCAUUUAUCACAGACAGUUUGAAAUUAGUACAUUACAAGCAUCUUCUGGCACCAUUGUUGGUGAACUGGAAUUAUCAGGACUCUUUAAAUAAUGAGGGGAAAAUACAUUUCAAUGUUAGUGUUGUACUAGUGAAUUUUAAGUAAAGUACAAUAGAUAAAUGAAAUCUUUAUGCAACUGUUAAUAAUUUGGUCCCCAUAUUUAAAUCGUAAAGAAACAAAGACCAAAUUUGAAUCUGUCUAUUAUAAUUGCAAACAAUUAUCCGAUAUUAUUGGAGAUUGGACACCUCCUUCCUCUGAUUGAUUGGUUUCGGAUUUUUUUCUUCUUUGUAGCCACGUUGCAGGUGUCACUAAAGAGUCAAAAUCGUCCUCCUGUUUUUCAGGACUGGGGAAGGAAGCCCAUUAAACCAUCUCAUUCAAGCCACUAUUCAAUUGUGGUGGAUUUGUCCCCAAAUGACAACCGCAUGGCUCAGUAGAGCCAGUGCGCGGCCGGACGGAGCCGAAUGGCAGCAACAAGGCUCGAAGAGAGGGAAACACGGCAGCGCUGUUGCAGAGCCGCGCUCGGAGGGAGAAAACGCAAACGCCUCCUUUCCCGGCUGCUACAAGAGAGGCGGCUCACGGAGGUGGUGGUACCUUUUCU